CACCCAGACUCCUACGGGAGGCAGCAGUGGGGGAUAUUGCACAAUGGGGGAAACCCUGAUGCAGCGACGCCGCGUGUGGGAAGACGGUCUUCUGGAUUGUAAACCACUGUCCCCAGGGACGAAAAUGACGGUACCUGGGGAGGAAGCUCCGGCUAACUACGUGCCAGCAGCCGCGGUAAUACGUAGGGAGCAAGCGUUGUCCGGAAUUACUGGGUGUAAAGGGAGCGUAGACGGCAGCGCAAGUCUGAAGUGAAAUCCCAUGGCUUAACCAUGGAACUGCUUUGGAAACUGUGCAGCUGGAGUGCAGGAGAGGUAAGCGGAAUUCCUAGUGUAGCGGUGAAAUGCGUAGAUAUUAGGAGGAACACCAGUGGCGAAGGCGGCUUACUGGACUGUAACUGACGUUGAGGCUCGAAAGCGUGGGGAGCAAACAGGAUUAGAUACCCGUGUAU
rnacentral:rRNA from 1 species